rnacentral:rRNA from 1 species
CAGAGGUCCCGAGCGUUGUUCGGAUUCACUGGGCGUAAAGGGUGCGCAGGUGGCAUGGCAAGUUUGGUGUGAAAGCUUCGGGCUUAACCCGGAAAUGGCAUUGAAAACUGCUGUGCUGGAGGAUCGGAGGGGGGACUGGAAUUCUUGGUGUAGCAGUGAAAUGCGUAGAUAUCAAGAGGAACACCAGUGGCGAAGGCGAGUCCCUGGACGAUACCUGACACUGAGGCACGAAAGCCAAGGGAGCAAACAGGAUUAGAUACCCUGGUAGUCUUGGCUGUAAACGGUGCGUAUUUGCUGUAAACGGAAUCGACCCCGUUUGUGGCGUAGCUAACGCGAUAAUACGCCGCCUGGGAAGUACGGUCGCAAGAUUA